UACGUAGGGGGCAAGCGUUGUCCGGAAUUAUUGGGCGUAAAGCGCGCGCAGGCGGUUGAUUAAGUUUGGUGUUUAAGCCCGGGGCUCAACCCCGGAUCGCACUGAAAACUGGUCGACUUGAGUGUAGGAGAGGAAAGGUGGAAUUCCACGUGUAGCGGUGAAAGUGCGUAGAGAUGUGGAGGAACACCAGUGGCGAAGGCGACUUUCUGGACACAUAUUGACGCUGAGGUGCGA
rnacentral:rRNA from 1 species